rnacentral:rRNA from 1 species
UUUAUGGGGUGACUGCGUACCUUUUGUAUAAUGGGUCAGCGACUUAUAUUUUGUAGCAAGGUUAACCGAAUAGGGGAGCCGUAGGGAAACCGAGUCUUAACUGGGCGUCAAGUUGCAAGGUAUAGACCCGAAACCCGGUGAUCUAGCCAUGGGCAGGUUGAAGGUUGGGUAACACUAACUGGAGGACCGAACCGACUAAUGUUGAAAAAUUAGCGGAUGACUUGUGGCUGGGGGUGAAAGGCCAAUCAAACCGGGAGAUAGCUGGUUCUCCCCGAAAGCUAUUUAGGUAGCGCCUCGUGAACUCAUCUUCGGGGGUAGAGCACUGUUUCGACUAGGGGGUCAUCCCGACUUACCAACUCGAUGCAAACUACGAAUACCGAAGAAUGUUAUCACGGGAGACACACGGCGGGUGCUAACGUCCGUCGUGAAGAGGGAAACAACCCAGACCGCCAGCUAAGGUCCCAAAGUCAUAGUUAAGUGGGAAACGAUGUGGGAAGGCAUAGACAGCCAGGAUGUUGGCUUAGAAGCAGCCAUCAUUUAAAGAAAGCGUAAUAGCUCACUGGUCGAGUCGGCCUGCGCGGAAGAUGUAACGGGGCUAAACUAUGCACCGAAGCUGCGGCAGCGACACUUAGGUGUUGUUGGGUAGGGGAGCGUUCUGUAAGCCUGUGAAGGUGACCUGUGAGGGUUGCUGGAGGUAUCAGAAGUGCGAAUGCUGACAUAAGUAACGAUAAAGCGGGUGAAAAACCCGCUCGCCGGAAGACCAAGGGUUCCUGUCCAACGUUAAUCGGGGCAGGGUGAGUCGACCCCUAAGGCGAGGCCGAAAGGCGUAGUCGAUGGGAAACAGGUUAAUAUUCCUGUACUCGGUGUUACUGCGAAGGGGGGACGGAGAAGGCUAGGCUAUCCGGGCGACGGUUGUCCCGGUUUAAGCGUGUAGGGGGUGUGACUUGGUAAAUCCGGUCGCAUACCAACCCUGAGGCGUGAUGACGAGUCACUACGGUGAUGAAGUAGUUGAUGCCAAGCUUCCAGGAAAAGCCUCUAAGCUCUAGGUAACAUUGAAUCGUACCCCAAACCGACACAGGUGGUCAGGUAGAGAAUACCAAGGCGCUUGAGAGAACUCGGGUGAAGGAACUAGGCAAAAUGGUGCCGUAACUUCGGGAGAAGGCACGCUGGCGCGUAGGUGAAG